AAAUAAAUGGGAUGACUUUUGCAUCUUUUUUCCUUCAUCGGCCUCUGUUGGAUGUCAUGAUAUUUGGAAGUAAAAUGACUAAGUGGCAGAAAGAUUCAAGGAGGAUAUCACUGGUUGACAAGAUCAACAAUUUCCCUGAACGGUGUAGCAGGAAGGACUUCAGCAGAGCCAACAAGGAAUUCUCAAAAGUAAACUAAGUACCUGGACCCCCAAAGCCCCAGCAAUGGACACAGGACACCAUUCUUGCGCUUCCUUCCCACCACAGACACAGAUCUUUAUCUCCAUCACUUCAAGAACUCAGAAUCUCUUCAGUCUGGUGAAACCUCAGGAAAUUCUCCACAUGCAAGAAAGAAAUCCAAGAAGCGGCAGCAGAAAUGGAGCAAGCCUGUUACAUCUCCUGGUUGACAAUUAACUUUUGCUAAUGAAAAAGUAAAAACUUAUUUUCCGACUCUUUGGUGACCACAUCUAGUGUUUACCCACGCAGUUGUUCAAAGUCUCCUGGAACAGGUAGUACAGACAGGCUAAUUAAUUUCUUAUCAUAGAAAUAAUCUCCAGACAGGGAGAGAAGUG
rnacentral:lncRNA from 10 species